UGUCUUCAGAAUGACAUGGAAGUGACAAAUAUGCUGAAUUUACUUUAAAAUUUUUUUUCAAACUCCAGAAUACAUCUUAUAUUUUGCCUAUAAAAUAGGCCUCUCUUUUAAAAUGUAUUGCCAUCUUGAUUUAUUUUAUGCAAGGUUGAUUUUACACAACUCAAAGGGAACAUUUAAUCUUUUUUUUUUUUUUUUUUUUUUUUUAAAUAAAAAAGAAUCUCACUAUGUUAAUCAUGCUGGCCUAAAUUCCUGACUUGGGUUGGAGGGAUUUUCUUAUCUCAUCCCCCUGAGUAGCUGAGAGUACAGGCAUGCGCCACCUUGUCUGGCUUCAUCUUAUGUCUAUACAUUCAUUUCAAUGGAUAAGAAUAAAAGUAGAGGUAGUGAAAUGGCCUCCUUGUAGAAUAAAUGAGCUGAUAAAUUGUUAUAAUGAUCACAUCUUUUUUCUUUUCUCUCUAUAUAGAUAUGGCUUUGGAGUCUAACCCUUCUGAUCAUCCAGAAUCAAAGAGAUCUCAAUCAGAUGGUGAGACAACAUUGUUCUUUCCACCAUGAAAAAGAGUGAAAACUCUUGUUUGAUGAGGUGUAUCAUAGAAAGUGUUUAGCAAAACUCAUAUUGGUUUAAAUUUUUAAAAUUUUCACAUAUUCACUUGUGUUAUUUUAACAUGUGAUAUACUUUCCUUUAGUUGUUAUCAUGUUAGUGAAAACAUGUAAACUUUUUGUUUAUACAUUUUACCAUCUUUUUAUCAACACAAUUUGUCAUGUAAUGGAGGAGUCUUAGAUUUAUCUUUAUGUAUAAUUCUUUGUCCCUUUUCCCAAUGGAUAAAAGUGGAGGUAGUGAAAUGGCUUCCUUGUCAAAUAAAUGAGUUGAUAAAUUGUUAUAAGUGAUUACAUCUUUUUUCUUUUCUCUCGAUGGAUAGAUAGAACUUUGGA